GCGCCCUCGCCUCCUUUCCCGAAUGUAUCGCGGCGGUUCUCUGCUCUUUCCCCUCCGUCCUGUCCUUUCACUUUCACCGGCGAACCCAGUGCGCCCGUGUGACAAAGCAGUCUAGUGCGGUGGAGACGCCCAGUGGACUGGCUGGGCUCUUGGCGGGCAGACGGUGGCGCGUGAGAUGUCAGUGCCGCCAGGGUGAGCUCUGCGGAGCCCUGCAGCCUAGUCACGCAGGUCCUGACCUCCCGGGUCUCAGUUUUCCCUUUGGUAAAAGAGGAAUCUUGAUGGUCUCUGUCUCGUGGUGGUGGUGUUUUGAGGAUCGAAGUGCUUAGGACAGUGCUUGGCAUACAGUAGCUGUCGUGAGUACUAAUUAGGCUUGCUUGGUGUCUUUUGGGGCCUGGCAGUAUUUGCAGUGGCACCGGGGCACACAUUUGGGUGAGUUUUUUUCUACCAGAGGCAGACUCCUGGAACAGGGAAGACGGAGUUAGUGUUGAUCCAGGCAUGCAUGUUGCAGGUUGAGUCUGGCAGGACUGGGAUUGUGGAAGGUAUGUUAGCUGGCAUUGUGGAGCUGGGAGGGCCUGUCAGCAGCUGGAAGUGGAGGUGAAGAAGCUGUUGAGCUGGAGAGAGGAAUGAGCCAGAAGGUUGGGAAGAAGGGUCCCAUGUCAGCAUUUUCAGAGCUGAACGGUUCUCAAUGAAUACAUCUCUGUGUGAUUGGUGAGGGGUGGUGAAACUGCUGCCUGGCUUCCCCUAGUCCCCCUGGCUUCCUUCUUCCUGCUCUUUCAAACAGAGAGGAAGGGAGAAAAACCAGAGGUUUCUAACCUGUUGUUUAGGUUUUGAACCUAAAGUUUCUACAGGGCUGAGGAGCACAGGUCAUGGAUAAGGAUAUAGACAAGGGACAUGUUCUAAGGACAGCCCUAGACCCAGGGAGGAUGGACUACCUGCUUUGAAUGCAGCAACCUUCCCCAAGAGAGGAAGGAUACUGGGGCAGAGAGGGGCCUCAUGGAGCACCAGAGAAGAAUCUACAACCUGAUUUUUCUGCUGCUGGGUCUUCAGUCCCACUGCAGCCCAGCUUCCUGGCUUAUGUGUGUGUUGGUGAAUUUGCUUGGGAAAUGACAGCAGGUCAUUGAGUUAUAGGAAGGGCAGUGCAUGCCAUCCUCAGCUGACUUCUUCUGUCCAAGGACUUUCCAAAUGGCCAGUGACUUGAGGGGGUACAAACUCUCUCCCACCUCCUCAGGACCAAUACAGAAUAGAUGUGGAGGCUGGUACAAUUAUAAGGAACUGGGAGGCCAGAGUAUGGGUUAAGAGUCUGGACACUGUAAUUAGACUCCCCAGUCCUCAUCCCCACUCUACCACUUCAAAGCUGGGCAACUCUGGGUAAGUCUACAUAGCUUUUCUGUGCCUCAGUUUCCUCAUCUGUGAAAUGGGGAUAAUAAUAGCUUUUGCUAUUAUAAGGGUUAAGUGAGCUAAAAUAUAUGUAAAAUGCUUAGAAUCUUGCCUCGUGCGUAGUGAAUGUUGCUUGAACUAUGAUCACAGGCUAUUAAAUGGAAUGGUGAAAUCUAAGGUGGAAGGAGAGACUGUAAAACAGGUGUCAGUCUUAAGUGGAUUAAGUAAUCAAGACAGUAGUAUAAACAGUGAGCUCUAUAACAAAGUCUCCAAGGAAAAGGGCUUUUUCUCCCACAAAGGAUAGAAAAUAAGUGGGCUGAACCGGUCCUAAGGAGCAAGGUCCCCUACCUACAGGGACAUGAGAAACUGAGCCCUUAGGAUUUCAUUUGUGUCAAGGUGGUGACAUUGUAUGAGGGGUUCAGGAAAUGUAGGGGCAACAGGAGGAGAGAGAGGGUGAUGGAAACGCUUACAUUUGGAGGGUUGGCUCUGUGUAUUAGUCAGAACUCUCACUUGCAAGGAGAAAUUCUGGAUCAAAAUGACUUAGACCAAAAAGAGAAUUAGUAAUUCAUAUUACCAGGAACUCUAGGGGCCUGAAGCUGUCACAAAAGGACCAACUCUAUUGUUUCAUUCUUAGGCAGGCUGUCUACUCUAUGUAAGACUGGCCCAGGCAGCGCCAGCCUUAGGCCCCUACUAGUUUAGGAUCUCUGCAAAAGAGCAUCCCUCUUCUUUGUUCUAGCAAAUGCCCCAGAGGCUGGCCUUCAUUUACUUAGGGUGUAGGGGAGGGAUUAAUUUUGCUUAAACCCUUGGGCUAUGUGUAGGGAAAAUCCAGGGGGUUACCAGCUAAAGGGGAGAUGGAUGCUGGACCAGCAAAAAUGAUAUUUUCACAUCAUCAAGAAGAACAGAAAUGAGUAGCAUGUGCGAUGAGUUUGCUUCGGGCUUCUGGGUCAGCUCAGUCUAAGGCUCCAUGUGGAACUAGGUCAGCUGUCUUUGUUUGGGUUACAAACUGGAUUUGAAGAAAAUGCAGCUGUAGGACUCCUGAAAGAAGUUCUUAUUGGAUCCCAGAUUUCUCUGAAUAUGGUUCUUGGCCACCUAAUACAAUAUAGCUGGGCGUUCUCGUGAUACUGCAGAUUCCUGGACCACGCCCAGGCAGACAUAUAGAAUCACCAUCUUUUGAGGUAGAGCCUUGAAAUCUGCAAUUUUUUACAAAAGCAUCCCAGGUGAUUAGGUACACUAAGAUUUGAUAAACUUUGCCAUGGGCUUUUCAGAGGGAGGCCAGCAUUAGUUAAGCUUGAAGACUGCAUCUAGCAAGAGAGUUGAGAUGAAGACACAAAAGAGUACAUGCUCGUGCUGGACGUUGGCCAGGCUCUUGGGCCUCCUCCACAUGGCCUUUCAUCUUUCAGUAGAUCAGACUGGGCUUCCUUACCUUCAGGUCUUGGGGCGGGGUUUGAAGAGGAAGAGAGCAGAAGCUAUGAGGCCUCUUGAGGCCUGAGUCUCCUAGUUGAAGCAGGAAGCAUUGCAUGAAUUUCCUUCAAACACUGACAAAACAGAAACUUGCGAAAACUCUAUUCUGCUAUGGCCCGGACUUUAGAAGAUAUUGUUUUGUGUACUGGUGAGGCCUGGAAAUUCUGCAGCCAUCUUGCUACCAGCCUGAGAUGAAGAACACGGAGAGAAAACAAGGGCAGAAAGUAUUAUGGUAAUUGCUGAGAAGUGGAACUGGGACCACUGGAUUAAGUUCCUGGAAGCUUGUCCUACAUCUGGACAUCCAGUUAUGUGCACCAAUUCAUUUUCAUUCGGCUUAGCAACUUCAAGUUGGGUGUUCUGGUAUUUGCAGCCAAAAACAACUGAACUGAAAAAAGGAUUCAUGACUGCGUGAAGCACUUUUCUCUCCUGAGGACAGAGCAAUCAGAUGCUCUGAGAAGGCACAACUUCCCCAGGCACGGAGCUAUUCUGAUCUCCGUGUGACAGUUUGGCUCCUGAAGGAAUCCACCAAGUCCUCACAUCCAGGGCUGGGGGUAGCCAGAGGUGAAAUCGUAAAGAAAGCUUUGAAGCCAAAUGCAAUGAUUAAUUGCUAACCAGAGUAACAGAGACAGAACUGGUCCCAACCUGGAGUAGAUACAUUCCUGGCUGCUGCUGCUAUCUCUUCUGCCUGGCUUUGGACUGAGUAUAAGUUCUCAGCCUCAUGUGUGAUGCACGUGGGAGCAGAUUGUAGACUUGUAAACUGUAUAGAAACCAUGCAGUGUGCGAGUUGUUAUUCUAUGUGUUAAAGACAAGAUAGAGAAUAAUGCAGACACAUUUUCUCCUUCCUCCAGGAUCAAUUUAUAGAUCAUGAAUGUGUUAGAUUUAAGCACAUGAUCUUUCUGCCUUCUAAACUGCUUUUCUAAGUAGAAAUAGAAAUGCAUUCCUGGUCUUAGUUGAAAUCUUAUGUGAUUUCACAGGUGAAUUUGGGUGCAGAGAGAGAGACAGAGAGACAGAGACAGAGACAGAGACAGAGGAGAGCACGCUCAAGCUUUAAGUCCUUGACAAGCCAUAAACCAAGCAAGUAAAGUCACAUCGAGACCUUGGCUGCUGAAAGUGAGAUGGAGAAGCCUUUGGUUUCCAGGGAAUUCUCUUGGAUUCUGACGUAUGGAUUGCUUUAUCGUUAAAAUGGAAGGCAGGAUUAAAACAACAAUGAAGAAAACUGAA